rfam:Triticum aestivum genome assembly, contig: Triticum_aestivum_CS42_TGACv1_scaffold_556037_7AL
CUAGUACUCCCCCCGUCCUGAAAUACUUGUUAGAGAAAUGGAUGUAUCUAGACGGAUUUUAGUUAUAGAUACAUUCAUUUUUAUGCAUUUCUCCGACAAGUACUUUCGGACGGAGGGAGUACAUC